UACGUAGGGUGCAAGCGUUGUUCGGAAUUACUGGGCGUAAAGGGCGCGUAGGCGGCACGGCAAGUCAGGAGUGAAAGCCCGGGGCUCAACCCCGGAAUGUCUUUUGAAACUGCCGAGCUAGAGUGCGGAAGAGGCAACUGGAAUUCCCAGUGUAGCGGUGAAAUGCGUAGAUAUUGGGAAGAACACCUGAGGCGAAGGCGGGUUGCUGGGCCGACACUGACGCUGAGGCGCGAAAGCCAGGGGAGCGAACGGG
rnacentral:rRNA from 1 species